UACGUAGGGGGCAAGCGUUGUCCGGAUUUAUUGGGCGUAAAGAGCGUGUAGGCGGCUUGGUAGGUCUCGCGUCAAAACCUGAGGCUCAACCUCAGUUCGCGUGGGAAACCACCUAGCUAGAGUCCGGAAGAGGAGAACGGAAUUCCCAGUGUAGCGGUGAAAUGCGCAGAUAUUGGGAAGAACACCAGUGGCGAAGGCGGUUCUCUGGGACGGUACUGACGCUGAGACGCGAAAGCAUGGGGAGCGAACAGG
rnacentral:rRNA from 1 species